rnacentral:lncRNA from 1 species
UUAGUCAUGAAUUAAAAUUGAUCCAACGGCUGAAAUUCCAUUAUCAUCUCCUCUCCUUUAAACAAAACAAGCAACCCUAAUCCCAAUUUUGAGCAUAAAAACAACCGCAACUCCUCUCUGCUUCUCUCUAAAAUCGGCAACUCCGCCGCCGGUGGACGAUUGCUGAAGCCGCUCCACCGCCUUUCAGCACCCUCUUUCUACUUUCUCUUUCUUUCUCUUUCUAAACUCAAUCGGCGACUCUCACCCAAAACAACCGCCUUCCGACAUCAGAAUCAUCACCAGAUGGCCAGCAACCAUCAGCCCACGCUGCCAGCCACCCUUGACCGGUGAAGCCUCUCCAGCUUCUGCUCCACUCGCCUCACCGUCGCGCUCCCUGGCAGCCGAGCACGUCGGUGCCGCUACAACUCAGGCCGGUGAUUCCCACCAGUCCAGCCACCGCACCUUUCUUCUUUUCUCCGCCAUCUUCGCCCCCAGUCGAUGGAACUAGUGCUGCCUCUGCCCUCUGUUUCCCUACUCCGACCAGCGUCACUGGAAAAGUCACCGGCUAGAGUAUUUUCUUUCUCGACAAAGAGUAUUGCAUGAUGGUUUGAUAUUGUGAUCGAUUUCAAGAUUUCUCAGGUGGAUUUUGUUACAAAUUCACCUCCGAUAUGAUAUUUAACAUUCAUUUGGUGUUUUAUUAAUUACUUUUUCUUCGUUAAAUUCGCAAUUACUUUCUUGACAAACUGAGAAUUGAUGUUGAUGUGUGACUUUUGUGAUUAAGUUUUUAUUAUUACCUGUCCGCUCAUAUACCGGUUGUGACUUUACCUUUAAUUUACCAUCAUUCCUUUUUUGUUAAUGAUUUCCUUGUUCACGCUUUGUCUUUAUUUGAGGCAUAUUGAUUUAGAAAUCUUGAAAUACACAGAUUCUUCUCACCUUUUAUCAACUGUAUAAUUAAAGCCGAUAUGUUUUUCUUUCUUUUGUGAUUAUAUGAGAAGAUCUAUGCCUCGUUUAUGGUAAGUUAAUCCGCUUAAUUCCUUAAUUAGUUUUAAUUGAUGAUUGAUAUCUUUUUCUUAUUUGAACAAUCAGCCUUAAUGCUUAAUUAUUUAUGGAAAAAUGUACUAUAUUUUGUAUAUUUGAUUGAUUUUAUUUAUCUUUUCUUUAAGUGUGGACAAGUUUAUAAUAACACAAUUUGUUUUUGUCAUAGGUUAAUUGAGGAAAGAAAUUUCGUGAUUGACUCUCUUAUUUAUUCUCUUCCUUUUUGUCAAUUGACUCCUACUUCUAUAUAAAGGCACUUCCCUCUAAUAUUUUGAGGACGUUGUUCCCUACUCCCACUUCUUCUCUUUUACACAACACUUUUCACAUCAUAUUUAUUCUCCCUUAUAUUUAAAUAUUUUUUGACUUUUGUCUGGGUUCGUGGUGUUCUUUCACUGCCGGUAGCUCUGUUCUAGUUGCGGUAGUUGAAUAUCGUUGGUUUUCUGAUUCACUGGUUGUCUUCUUUUUCCUAUAAACAAGCUUUCUUAUUAUUGUCCAUAAUAGUCAAUGAGUGAGUUCCUAACCGAUGUAAUUUUCUAUUCCUUAUGUGAUGACUGUAUGGUGUUGUGGAAACCACUAUAAAACAUGUCUAUUAGGGACUGUUUGGUGUUUGUUAUUGUGUCUUGUGUCCAUCUUUGGUGUGCUCUUCGGCUCCACUAUUUUGUUCUUACAUAUCUGGUACCCUUAUAGAUAAUUUUGGAAUUUGAAGAGUUGCCCAUGAAUUAGGGAGGGAUUGCUCAUUCCUUCUCAUUUACUUUUUUUAUUCAUUGUGUUGUAAUGACUUUUGUAAACCUCUACUGAUGUAAUAAUAAACUUGGGACUGCUCGAGGGGCGGGGUAUAUGUGAUUUAAUUGCUUUUUGUGAAUCAUUUAGGUAAAUAUAAUCUAGGAUCAACAAUUAAUUUAUAUGAUUACUUAGAAAUCAUGUGUUAGGGAUAACAAUUAUCUUUUGGAGUAGGCCAACGUGAACAAGUUUUACUUAGUAUUUUAAUGACUUAGUAAAUCAGCAUUGGACUGAGAUAAUUUUUUUAGCAACUGACAACAUCCGUUUCAAUUUACAAAUAAGUUUCGACUCAAGAUAAUUUUCAACAACAAUAAGAAAUAAUAUUUAUUUUUCAUAAAAUUGCUUCCGAUAAUAUAUAAAAUCAGCUCCAGCGUUUUUAAUACUCACAUUCUCAACAUUUCUGUGCUAAACUCAAAAACUGUUUCGCCUUUUUUAUAAAAGAAGAUAAUUUCUGUUUAAACGAGGAUUUUCCACGAUCUGUUUGACAUUUUAAUAAUUGAAAUCAGUUUCUGCUCACAGUAAUUACUUUUUGCAAUCAUAUUUUCUGUAAUAAAACAAGAUAGACAAAUAUCAAUCCUGUUUUCAUAACAAUUUGUUUCUGUUUCUGCGAACAUCGAAGAAUUGAUUUUUGCUUUUUAAUUUUGCAGUCAGUUUUUGCAAUAAUAAAUGGGCUUUUUGCUUUUAGAAGUAACUUCUAACAAAGGUAGCUUCAUCACUGUUAAUGUUAAUGUUGGUCCUUUUAGUUUCUAAUGAAAUGUUGGUCCUUUUAGUUUCUAAUGACAUUAAUUCACAGCUCAUUCUUUUUUCAUCUAACUUGCUCGCUCUCGCCUGUCAAUAUAUUAACACUUAGAUCAUGUUCAUAGGUUCAAUGAAUAGAUAAUUGUUUGUCUUGAUAGGUCAAUCACCUUAACCAACUUCUUAAUUAACCAAGAGAUUUGUUUGAGACUAUUACGUGCUACUUGAUGUCCUAUUUAUUUUAUGUGCUUUGAGUUCAACAAAGAAACUUAGAUUUAUUUGUCUAGACAAUAAAUCCCAAAUAGCAAAGUCUAAUGCCUCUUGGACGAUUGGUUGGGACGAUAGACAGUUUAGAGGCACUAGUUUUAUCCUUUUUUUUAGAACGCUUUUAGGCAAACAACCAACCUAGGUGGAGGUAGGUAGACAUUCGAAAGUGAUAAUACCCAAAUAUAUAUUGACGAUACGACGUAUGAUUCUGUCAUUUGUCUUGAAUUCGGUUGUUGGAUAUUAGGCCGAAUAAUUAACAAGUUGGGUUUUGAUCCGAUUAAGAUCAAAACAGUUCCUUGGUUUGACUUUUCAAAUUUGUUCUUUUAAUUACUUUAUAUGCUUUUUUUUUUUUGGUAAUUAGUUUAUCAUAUAAGUAGUCCCUUAUUGCUAUAAUUUAUGUCGUGUCUCUCCUCACUUGUCUUAUUUACAUAUUUUAUUGAUUUUCACUUAGAUAAUUGAUAGCUAAAAUAAUUAAAAUUACACGUCUUUUUUAUUCAUAAUUUUUCACUUAGUAAUAUUUAAGUUAAAAACAAAUAAAAUAAGCGACCUUUAUUUAUCACAUAGAAUCUCCACGUAAAAUAUGAAUUCGAUCGGAAACCAUCUUUGUGGACCUCGAAAGGUGCCUUACACUUUCCUUUUGAGGUAAUUUGAGCCCUUACUCGAAUUUCUGGUGAACUAAUAUUAAAUAAUAAAAUAGGUUCGUAGUUAGCCUAGAAUGGUGUUCUAACGCACCUUAAUUCGUUAGGUGGUGACUCUUUACACUCCACGGUGAAUCUCAAUUUUCGCGAGAAAAAUGAGGCGUGACACUUAUUUUAAUGAUGAUCAGCUAACAACAAGGGACUAAGUCCCUGGGUCUUCAUGAAUCCAGUACAACUGUCACUGUCUUGCGCAAUUUUGUCUUCUAGUGUAACAAACUGCGCAGGUGAGCUUGUACCCAUCAGGAUACCUGGCUCAAUCAGAUUUCUACCUUAAUCAUUAUUCCACUAUAAAAGGAAAAGAAUGCUUCUCAAUUGGUGAGUUUUUUGCAUGUAUAUACUAAACGAGUGAGUGUUUUUUAGUCAAGUCAUGAUCUGUAAUUGAAUUACUAAUGUUAUAAGAGCAACGUUUUCUUUGUGUUCUUGAGAGUGCCUAGGUCGAGCUACCUGAGUUUGAUAUUGGUUAGAGUUAAUCAAUAUCAAUGUAACUUCUUAUCAAAGUUGUCAAGGUAGGUUUGUAAUAGAGUUAUUGCAAACUAGUUGAGCCUAGAGUUAGCUUCAUAUCGAGUCUGUCAUCAAGAGUUUGAUUAUAGUGGAUUGUUGAGCGCUAUGAGGGCAAGCCGUGAUUUCUCUUCCUUUGAACAAGGAGGUUUUCACGUUAAAUCAUUGUGUUCUUUACUUUCCUACAAGGUUUUAGUUUCUCAGUGGUUUACUAUUUUAUUGUCUGUGUCUGACUCUAUGGGAUAUGGUCCCUCAUAGUGUGGUGCAACCCCCUUACGUUUCAAAAACUCAUAACUUUGAAUCAAAUAAAUGGUUCAUAUAUUUACAAUUAUGAUUUAUAGUAUCAAUUAAAUUAUCUUAUUUCAAUAACUAUGUUGCAUCUCUAUGAAAAAUAGUUAUUAUUUUUUUUCAGGUGUAUACCAUGAAAUUUAUAAUGAUUUACAAAGAGUUAUCAUAAGAAAGAUAUAUAUAUAUAUUGAUCGAAUUUCUGGUACAACUUCUAUGAAAUGUUACUUUCAUUCAACAACAGCUCCUUGAUAUGUAUGCAUUUGUGAAAAUGAGUCUCUACAAUUCUUUUAUAAUAACGCAAAAAUAUUUUGAUGUAAACUAAUUGCAAUAAUUGGCAACGAUACUUAUAUUGAAAUGUGAAUUGUGUCUUUUGAGUUUAUAGCAUAAACAAAAAAUUGUCAAAUCAAAUGUUUCAUAUAUUAUAAAUUUGUAUAAGUUAAGUCGUUCUAAUAUUAUUCUACUGAUCAAAAUUCAAAUGAUGGUGGUUAUUUGAAUACUUUUAAUCAUGAAUUUCUAUUUGAUUUUAAAAAAGUCGUUCUAACAUCACUUUAUUGUAUUAAAUUUUAUCUUCAUAAUCAUAAUAUGACGAUACAAGUAAAAUAACAACAUAUUCGUAAACAAAAAAAAUGUAAUUUAAUAGAUUGUAUGCAUUUAUGAUUGUGGUAAGAAAACUACUUAUUAUAUGAAAUGUUUUUUCUCCCCAAAUUCAAUAUUCAUCUCCAAAAAUAAAAAAAUAUUCUGAUAUUCACAAUUUGAAAGCAAUUUCAACAUUUUUAUAUUUUAGAAUGACAACAAAUAUCAGUCGAACAUGCUGACAAUUUCAUUUGUUCAUGCUUGUGUUUUUCUCUUUUAAAAUUUUGUGCAACUCACUCCAUACAUAUUUCAGUACUAUUUAUAUCAUUUUACAUCGUUUAUAUGAAUUAGCGUGUGAUACACUACAAUGCAUGUGUUUGAAAACUAGUAUAAUAAUAAAUGAGAAGGUAGAAGAGGUGAUGUGACACCUCUUAAAAACUAGUAUUUUUAUUUAUCUUUCUUCUCAUUUUUUGAAUUUUUUUUAUUUUUUAAUUUAUGUAAUAUGUUAAAAAUUCAAAAAUCACCAAAAAGAUGAAACUGUCAUUUUAAGUGAAUUUAAGAAAAUCAAACUUGACAAUUACAGCUUAUUAUUAUUAUUGUUAUUGCCCAUUUAUAUCCUUAAUGUUAGUCUCUCUUCUCAUUCCUUUUGAUAUUUCAAGUAUGAGUGUUUCCAUAUAAAUUUGAACAUUUGAGUAAGUAGUUGCUAAUACACUUUUCAGAAUUAAGAAUUGUGUCAAUAUUGGUUGUAAAUUUUCUUCUAAUAUUAUUUUUUUGUCUACAAAUUUAUGCUUCUUCAACACUUUUGUCACUCUACAAGCAAUUAUCAAGGCAAACAAAUAUAUUCUCUUUUUUUUUUGUGUGUAUGAUUUUUAUCUUAAAGUUUGUAAGAAUGCACUCAUAACCUUUAAGUACUACAUAUUUAUUUCACCAUAAAAUUCUCACUUUCUUUAGAGUAAUUCUCUUAGCUAGUUUGAUUGAUAUAAUCGGGAGUUUUUAUGCAGUUGCUUUGCCCUCCACAUUUUCUCAAAAAGUUUAUUUUCCUUCCCCGUGUGCAUAAACAAAUAAUGGUGGCCAACGUGCAAUUGGUAGUUGAUAUAAUAACAAAAUAAAUGUGUGGUGUAAAUAUAUGGUACACGUAGCAAAUGUGUGUCCAUAUAAUUGUGUAGUCAUUUGCCUAUAAAUAGGCUUUAAGUUCAUUGUGUAAGAUGUACCAAACAAUACAAGCUUAUCUAUUGCUUAUUCUCUUCUUUCUCUAUAGCAUCUUUUCUUGUUUAUUUUCUUGAGGUCUCGAUUUAGUAAUUUUCUCAAGUGUCGGUGUUCGAUCCUGAGAUGUUCGGUGUUCAACAAUUGGUAUCAGAGCUUGGUUGGAGGAGUAAUAAUUUUUCCUGAAUUGUCUCGUGAUUGCAGCAUUGUCUGAUCUUUCACAGGAAGGAAAUUUUUUCACUCGUUCACUAACCUCUGUAUGAGGCACUAUUAAUACAUAGUGUUCCUCACUCUGUUGUAGUUUGUUCAAAGGUUCCUUACUCGGUCGGUGUUUGUUCGAAGGUUCCUAGCUUGCUCAGUGCUUGCCCGUGUGAAGUAUUGUUCGUGUUCAGCCUUGAUAGUAUUCCGACGGCACGAUGACAAGCCUACAUGUUGUCGGCAGAAUGGAGAAGCUCAACAACAACAAUUACAACACAUGGUCAACUUACAAAUGUCGUAUAUGCAAGGGCAAGACCUAUGAGAGGUUGUCAAUGGAACCGAAGUAACACAACCAGAAGCAGAGGAUGCAAACUACACGUUGAGAAAAUGAAAAAUAAAAGCAGGGAAAGCAAUAUUUGCAUUAAAAACAAUGGUUGAGAAGGAUUUACUAGAGAAAAUCUGAGAUGCAAAGACCCCAAAUGAAGCUUGGGAUACAUUCGCCAAGCUGUUCUCGAAGAAGAACGACUCAAAGCUCCAACUUCUUGAAAGCGAGUUAUUGUCGGUGACUCAAGGAAAUAUGACUAUUACACAAUAGUUUCACAAAGUGUAGUCACUGUGUCAAGAUAUUUUUGAACUGGAUCCAGAGGCUCGUAUUAAUGAGACUAGGAUAAAAUGAAUUAUCAUCCACGGUCUAAAGCCAGAAUACAGAAGCUUUGUCGCUGCAGUACAGGGAUGGAAAAAUCAUCCAUCACUUGUAGAUUUUGAGAAUUUGUUAGCUGGUCAAGAAGCAUUAACUAAAUAAAUGGGAGGAGUCUCACUAAAGAAUGAAGAAGAGGCACUCUACACCAAUAAAGGCAAGCGGAAUUUCAAACAGCGAAAGAAUUAUAGAUUCAAGAAAAAUGAUGACGAAUCAUAGGGUCAUCAAGGCGAAGGAAGCACUCGUGAAGGGGGAGGAUCGAAGAAAUAUGAAAACGAGAAAAUAUUUGAAGAAAAGUGUUACAAAUAUGGGAAAAAGGGCCACAUGGCAAAGACCUAUCGGUCGAAGGAAAAAUCUGUGGAAGGUAAUGUCGUUACCUCCAACAGUGAAGAAGAAUGAGAUGCGGACGCAUCUUUUGCUGUUGAAGAGGAGGAGUUAGCCCUUACAGCAACAACAUCCAGUAAAAUCUAUUAUGAAAAUGAUUGGAUCAUUGACUCAGGUUUCUCGAACCAUAUGACGGGUGAUAAAGAUAAGUUGCAAAACUUAUCAAAAUACAAGGGAAGUCGUUUGGUGGUAAUAAAAAACAACUCUAAGUUACCAAUUGCUCAUGUUGGUAAUACAGUGGUGUCUCUUCAUAGAAACAGUAUCGAAGUGGUACUUCAAAAUGUCUACCAUGUUCCGGGGAUGAAGAAAAAUCUUCUUUCGGUUUCACAGUUAACAUCUUAAGGCCAUUUUGUUAUAUUUGGUCCACAAGUUGUGAAGGUAUAUCGUGACCUUGAGAUUUCCAAGGAGCCAGUGAUGAAGGGACGAAGAUUAGAGUCAUUCUAUAUGAUGUCAACAGAAAUAACAUACGUAGAGAAGAUAAGAAGGAACGAGACGGUAGACUUGUGGCAUAUACGACUGAGUCUUUUAGCUAUUCCAAGCUAAAUGUGAUAAUGAGGAAGUCGAUGCUAAAAGGACUUCCUGAACUUGAGGUGAAAAAAGACACAAUCUGUGCAGGCUGUCAAUAUGGGAAGGCUAAUCAAUUUUUGUAUAAAGAGUCCAAAUUUAAAGCAAAGGAACCAUUAGAGUUAAUCCACUCUGAUGUGUUUGGACCUAUUAAACAAGCUUGCAUUGGUGGGAUGAAGUACAUGGUAACCUUCAUUGAUGAUUUUUCCAGAUAUGUGUGGGUUUAUUUUAUGAAGGAAAAAUCGAAGACUCUAUUAAAAUUCAAAGAAUUUAAAAAGGUUUCAGAAGCAGAGGUCAACAAAGGCAUUGGAUGUCUACGCACCGAUAAUGGGGGAGAAUAUACUUCAGAUAAGUUUUCUAACUUUCUUCAGGAGUGUUGAAUACGCCAUCAGUUCACAUGUGUGAACACUCCACAACAAAAUGGUGUUGCAGAAAGAAAGAAUAGGCACCUGACAGAAAUAUGUCGAAGUAUGCUUCAUGCAAGAAAUGUACCGGGACGUUUUUGGGCAGAAGCGAUGAGAACUGCAGCCUAUGUAAUCAAUAGGCUUCCUCAACAAAAGUUACAUUUCCUUUCACCCUUUGAAAAGCUAUGGAACAUGAAGUCUACAGUUAGCUAUUUUUGAGUUUUCAGAUGUGUAUGCUAUGUAUUUGUGCCUGAUCACUUACGUAGCAAAAUGGACAAGAAAGUUGUAAGGUAUAUCUUUGUUGGCUACAAUAGUCAGAGAAAAGGGUAGAGAUGUUGUGAUCCUAUAAUGGGAAAAUGCUAUAUAUCCCGAAAUGUAGUAUUUCAUAAAGCUUCUUUAUGGUGGUCCUCAGAUAAGGAGACAUUUCCAGACUCAGAUACUCUGAAAAAUGAAUUACAGUCUUCACAAAUUCAGCUGAGUCUAGGUGAAACUGAUGUCGUUGAUGAUAGUGGAGAUGUCGAAGAAGGUACAACUCAGAAUCCAUGGCAAACCGGUGUAUACCAUCAUCCAAGCGAAGAUGGUAAACCUUGUGAAGUGGAAGAACCAACUCCACUUAGAAGAUCAACAAGAGUUCCGAAGCCGAAUCCAAAAUAUGUUAAUGCUGCUAUAUUGGAGGAGGUGGAUUCAAAAGACCCGGAGACAUUUGAAGAAGCAUCUCAAAAGCCAGAAUGGACCAAAGCAAUGAAAGACGAGAUUGCUUCUCUUGAACAAAAUCACACUUGGGAUCUUGUUCCAAAGUCAAGAGAUAUGAAACCUAUCUCCUACAAGUGGGUUCACAAGAUAAAACGUCGUACAGAUGCAUCGAUUGAGAGACACAAGUCUCGAAUGGUAGCUCGAGGAUUCUAUCAACAAUAUGGGCUAAAUUAUGAUGAAAUGUUUAGCCCGGUGGCAAAGCUCACAACCAUGUGUGUCCUACUGGCUCUAGUAGCUAGUAAGGAUUGGAACCUAUGACAGAUGGAUGUGAAGAACGCAUUUCUGCAUGGAGAGUUAGAUCGGGAGAUUUACAUGGACCAUCCGAUGGGUUUUCAGAGUCAAGACCAUAUUGAAUAUGUUUGUAAGCUUCGGAGAGCGCUUUAUGGGUUGAAAUAAGCACCGAGAGCUUAGUAUGGUAAGAUUGCUGAAUUUCUUAUGCAUAGUGGUUACUCAGUGGCACCUGCAGAUCCUAGUUUGUUUGCCAAAGCCAAUGGAGGAAAACUAGCUAUAGUACUAGUAUAUGUCGAUGAUUUGAUCAUUACGGGAGAUUGUGAAGAUGAAAUCCUUCAAACAAAGGAGAACUUAUCUAUUCGAUUCCAGAUGAAAGAAUUAGGUCAACUCAAGCAUUUCCUCAGCUUAGAGGUUGAUCAUACUGAAGAAGGAAUUUUUCUACACUAGAAAAAGUAUUCCAAAUAUUUGUUGAAAAUUUUAGAAUGACUAACUGCAAGCCGAUUUCAACUCCAAUUGAGCAGAAUGUCAAAAUGUGUGCUCAUGAAGGGAAGGACUUGGAAGAUGCUACUAUGUAUCGACAAUUGGUCGGAAGUUUGAUCUACUUAACACUUAUGAGACCCGACAUUUCAUUUGCAGCUAAGGUGAUGAGUCGAUACAUGCAAAAUCCGAAGAACCCUCACUUGGAAGCAGUUCGAAGGAUUUUGAGAUAUAUCAAGGGUACGCUUGACUAUGGCAUCAUGUACAAGAAAGGUGGAGAUUUCAAAUUAGCUGCCUACUCUGAUGCUAACUAUGCUGGUGAUCAUGAUACUCGAUGUUCAACAACAGGGUAUAUGUUUAUGCUUGGAUCUGGAGCAAUUUCUUGGUGUAGCAGAAGGCAACCAAUUGUCUCGUUGUCAACAACAGAAGCAGAGUACCGAGCAACGGCAAUGGCAGCUCAGGAAAGUACUUGGCUUUCCCAACUUUUGAAGGAUUUGCAUCAACUAAUGGAGUAUGCAAUUCCUUUGUAUUGAGAUAACCAAUCAGCAAUACGUUUAGCGGAGAAUCCGGUGUUCCACGUAAGGACCAAACACGUGGAGGUGCAUUACCAUUUUCUCCGUGAAAAGGUUCUUAAAGAAGAAAUACAAAUGGUGCAGGUCAAAACAGAAGAUCAAGUUGCAGACCUGUUCACAAAAGGCUUGAGUGGCAACAAGCUCGAUAGUUUCUCUUAUUAGCUAGGAAUGAAGACUAAGAUGGAAGUUGGGUUUGAGGGGGAGUGCUAAGAAUACAAACCCAAUAAAUAAUGGUGUCCAACGUGCAAGUGGUAGUUAAUAUAAUAAUAAAAUAAAUGUGUGGUGUAAAUAUAUGGUACACGUAGCAAAUGUGUGUCCAUAUACUUGUGUAGUCAUUUGCCUAUAACUAGGCUUUAAAUUCAUUGUGUAAGAUGUACCAAGUAAUACAAGCUUAUCUAUUGCUUACUUCUCUUUUUUCUCUAUAACAUCUUUUCUUGUUUAUUUUCUUGAGGUCUCGGCUUAGUAAUUUUCUCAAGUGUCGGUGUUCGAUCCUGAGAUGUUCGGUGUUCAAUGCAUAACAAUCUCUAUUUUCCUAUAUUAUCCUUUUAUUUAUCUAUUGAUAAACUAAUAACGAAUACGAUGCAUAGGAUGAGGUUAUUUGAUAAGAAUCGGGUUGCUUGAAUAAAUAAGAUAAUAAUGUGGAGGCGAAAAUAUUAAGAUUAAGUAUAAGAAAUUAAAGAUAGGUGCAAUUUGAGAAUACAACAACAACAACAAACCCAGUGUAUUCCCACCUUGUGGGGUCUGGGGGGGGGUAUGCAGUCCAUACCUCUACCUCUAAAGAAGUAGAAAGACUGUUUCCGAUAGACCCCCGGCUCAAGGCCCGAGAUACCACACAAACACAUAGUAAAGCACAGACGCAGAUUACAUAACAUAAAUACGGCACCCAUAAGUAAUAUAAAACAGAGGAAAGCAGAGGGAAGCACACAGAUUCGUAAUAAAACAUGGAACACGGAACACGGAAUCAUAACAGGAAUAAAACCCCCACCAAGUAAUUCCCUACAAUAGGCAAAAUUGAAAAAUAAAAUUCCCAAUUUCUAGGUUAAGUGCUAAGAACCCUAAUUAAUCUUAGUAUUUAAAAUUAGCGGAUUAAGACUAAUUAUAAUACUAAUAGAAUCAAUUCAAGAACUUCAACCAAAAGUGAUCUAGACCCCUAUUCGAAAAAAACUAAAGACAACAAUUAGUAUAAGAAUAAUCACUUUCUUUAAUUAACUUUAAUAGAAACCAAAAAUAUCAAAUUUAAAAUUAAUCUUACCUCCUAAAGAAUCAUUUUUACAGAGUUGCAAGAUAAAUCCAAAGUCACCACACACAAAGAUGUAAAGAAGAGAAACCUCUCAAAUAUUAUUAAAUGUCAUGUUGUCUAAUUGAAAAUAACAAAAUUCAUCCCUAUAUAUAGACAGAAAAAAUCCAUUUCAAAUAGCAUGUGAUUCGAAUUCUAUUUUUAUGAAAAUAAAUAAAUCUAGGAAACUUUAAACUAGAAAACUUUUACACUAGGACACUUUAAACUAGGAAAUUUUUAAAUUAGGUAACUUUUAAACUAGAAAAAUUUAAAUUAGGAAAUCAAAAGUUUUAGAAAUUAACCAAAACCUAUAUAGGCUCAAUCUUUUUCGUUUGGGCUUGGACCUGUGAAUUAUGAAAUAUUUCUCUAUAAUCUUCGACUCAUUCUUGGGCUCUUCUUUCAUUAUAAGCAUCUUCUUAAUUCACACUGAAACCUAUCAAUCUUAAUGCGAGUGGGCCAGCCUAGAUGCUAUCAUUUCCCUCUUCUUGAAUAUAAUUCAUCCUCAAUUGAAAUCUCGCAAAAUAAAAAAAACAUACAAUAGUAAACAAAAUUCAUUACUUGAAAGCAACAAUGUAGGAACAAAACAAGAAAGUGAACAUCCAUCAACUUAAACCAAUUAAUUCUUGCAUGUAUAAAUACAACUUUAUAAAGCAUGUGGACAUCAUCAUCCCAAUAGAAAAUUUUCUUCCUUGUAUGAGCACAACAAAAUUCACGUAUAGAUGACAUAGGGAAUGAAAUAUGUGCCUCUCCAAUUUAGCUCUAUCAAUAAAGUACUUUAAUGUGCUUGUCAAAGACGACAUAAGAUCCAUAGAAUAUGCAUUAAAUUGAAUAUUUUUAUGAUAUAGCCAAGCAUCCACAAUUACACUUCUCAAAUAUUUUUCACAUAAAAUUUACUCACAAAAGCAUAUUAAUUUUCAAGAAGGUUUGAAGAACCUUUUAAUUUCAAAAGAAUUUCGAUCAAAUUCUAACUAAUUGCUCAAAUUCACCAACAAGAAAUUAUGAAUAGGUUCAACAAACAGGUAUUUGAUCACUAGUAUCAUAAUAGUCAUGUAUUUUCUCAUCACUAGUAGCAAAUAUCUUUUUAACCUUACAAUCACCAAGAUUUAAAGAAUUAUGACUCAUCACAUAAAAAGGAUCGUAUUCCAACAAGUCAUAAUAUAAAAGAUUAUUUGCCACAAGAAUAAGAAAUAAAAAAUCAUCUAACUCAUUCACAAAAUUCUUCCUACAAACACCACGCCUCUUCUCAACAAGUAAGAAUCCAUAUUCAACUUCGUCAAACUCAAUUUCAAAAGUAUCGAAUUACACCUAUAGUUGAACUUAGCGGUUGCAAUUAAUGACUUAUUAUAGAGCGAAAUAUCAUCAUCCUCAAACUUAAUAAAGUCCCCAACAUAAGAAUUAAGAUUGUAGUUCAUCACCUCCAGAAAGACCUUACGUAUUCUAGGAAUUCUUAGAAUGCGAAUAAAUCAAUCAUACAUCCCGUACUUGGUCUUAUGUAGCAAAAGAACAAUAUCAACCUAUUUUAUCUUGCUUAUUAGCAUUAGAUCGACAUCUUCCUUACUGGACUUCUUAUCAUGAGUCUUAUCUUAGACAAAUCCAAAAUAAUUCUUUUCACUUAGAUACUUCUCAUGAACACACACUUGCUCAAUGGGACAUAUAGUUUCAACCACCUUACAAUUAAGCUCGUCCAAUAAUAACUUUUUAAUGCAAAAUUUCCCAUGAGUACCUACAAGAGAUUCAAAGCAACUAAAAGAAGAAGUAGGGAUGUUAGAGUUAGAAUAAGAAAUAACCUCACUCAAACUCUCUUGUUUUAUCUCUAUACCUCAUGAUCACCCUCUUUUUAUUACUCUCGUGACCAUCUCUAUUUUCUUUUCUCUUGACUUCGCUUGACAUCCUAUUGUCUUCAUACAAUACAACCUUUAUUAUUUUCACUUUUGGAAUAUCAGCAUGCACUCCCUUACUCCUAUCAUUUUUUUUCUCUUAAAAUGCUUUUUUCAUAUGUUUCUGUUCUUCAUAAACUAUGAAUGAAGUUAAAGGUGCAGGUUUAUAUUUUUUUAGCACAAGAGAAAUUCUAUUCUUUUUCCUAUCAUAAAUUGCAUUCUUAUUAAACUAUCAUGAAUGUCCAAGUAAUGUCCAAGUAUGAUAUGACAAUCUUACAUUGAAAUUACAUCACAAAAAACAUCAUCAGAGUACCUCCAAAUGAAAAAAGAAAUCAUGCAUUCCUUAAUCGCCUUAAGUUUUCCAAAAUCAUUCAAUCAUUGUCACUUGUAAAAAGUAGUGUGUUCGAUGCAAGUAAGUUUCAACUUUUCCACCACAUAUGAACUUAUACAUUAUCACCACUUUCAAAAUUAAUAAUCAUAGAGCAAAGACUACUUUUUGUCACACCUUGUAUGAAAAGUACUUCUCCUCAAAUAAGUUAUAUUCAUUGAGUUAGGUGAAUUUUGGGUGGCCUCUAAUGCAUCAAGUCGAAUGAAAAUCCUUCUAAGUGCCUUGACAAUAUCGCUAUUUUGAGUCCUGGAAUUAAUAUUCUUUCCUAUUUGAGACAUCUUCAAAAAAAUAAAGAAAAAAAUAUCUCCAAUUUGGCUUUUUUUUUCUUUUAUUGAUAUCACUUUCUUUCCUUGUUUUCACCCAAAUCACCAUCUUUGAUUAGAUGCCUCAAAAUUUAUAUAUACACCCUACUAGUAACAACCUUUUAGAAGUAAGAUGUAGAAAGAAAAAAAUUUAUCUGACAAAUUGGGUUUGAUGAGACAAUAAAAAUAUCAAUUUAUGGAACAAAAAAUCCUCAACUUUUUUCUCUUUGGUGUAGGAAAUCAAGAAGCAAAACAAAUUAGGAGUUUUCGUAGAAAUAUCUUAAUUCUCAGUUAAUUGAAUUUUCUUCCUUUUUUUAAUUUUCACUUGAUUGCUACUAUAUAGCUUUUCUUUUUAAUCUAUGAAAAGAAAACAAAAUAGAAGAAAGAUCUUUUUUUUUUGUGCCAGAAACUCUCAAAAUUUAUCAAGAACGGAACCUUGAUAGAACUGCUCUGAUACCACUUGGUAAGAAUUGGGUUUCUUGAACAAACAGGAAAAUAAUGCGCAAGCGACAUACUAAGAUUAAGGACAAGAAAUUAAAGACAGGAGAAAUUUGAAAAUAAAAUCCCCAAUUUCGAUAUUAAGUGCUAAAAAUCUUAAUUAAUUUUAGUAUUUAAAAUUAACGAAUUAAGACUAAUUACGAUAUUAUAGAGUCAAUUCAAGAACUUUGAUCAAAAAGUGAUCUACAUUCCUAUUUUGAAGAAACUGAAGAUAAUAAUUAGUAUAAUACUAAUUAUCUUCUUUAAUUAACUUUAAUAAAAAUCAAAGAUAUCACUAACAUGGGUUGUGGUGCAGUGGAUGGGGCUGCUCCACCCUUAACUAGAGGUCGAGGGUUCAACCCUGGGUAUGGAAAAAACUCUAUUGGGAGCGUUGCCAUCUUAAUGAGCCCUGCAACGCGCAAUCCAAAUUAGUCGGAGCUCCAAUGCGGGCACCAGACACUGAACGGGAAACCAAAAGAAAAAAAAUAGAAAUCAAAGAUAUCAAGUUAAGAAUUAAUCUUACCUCCUAAGAAUCAUUCCUAUAGAGUUGCAAGAUAAAUUCAAAGUCACCACACACAAAGGUGUAUAAAGAAGAGAAACCUCUCAAAUACCUCUCAAAUAUUAUUAAUCAUCAUAUAUAUAUAUAUAUAUAUUAAUAAGGAAUAAUUGGGUUCGAGUCUUAUAUAUAUAUAUAUAUAGGUAUAUGUGUGUGUGUGUAUAAAUCUAUUCCAAAUAGCUUGGGAUUUGAAUUAUACUUUUAUGGAAAUAAAUAAACCUAAAAACUUUAAAACUAGGAAACCUUUAAACUAGGUAACUUUUAAACUGUAAAACUUUAAAUUAGGAAUGCAAAAGCUUCUAAAUUUAAUCAAAAUCCAUUAGGUCCAAUCUUCUUCGUUUGGUUUUGGAAUUUUGAAUCAUGAAAUAUGUGUAGCACUUAGCUCGUGUUUGUCCAUAAUUAUUAGACUCAUUCUUGGGCUCUUCUUCCAUCAUAAGCAUCUUCUUGAUUCACAUUGAAGCUUGCCAAUCUUAAUGCAAGGGGACCAACUUUGAUGCUAUCACUAUUCCUCCUUUAACCAAAGGUCUCGGUUCGAACCAUGAUAUGAAAUUCUUUUGGGUAAGGAGCACUUCCUUUGAAUCGAUCUUACACAAUGCGAAAUUAUAUUAGUCGAGCUCUAAUGAGGGCACCAAAUACGGGAUGAUAAAUCAAAAAAAAGUUCAUUUACAUGUUAUUAUUUUCGUAUUUUUGUUACUCUUAUUUUCUCUUUUUUCGUGAAAGCAAUCAUGACGUGAAUUCUCUUUUUCUUCCUUUUUUGGUUGGAACUUUGGAAAUAUUUUGUAGCCAUUGUAUGAUAUUAUUCUAAAUAUUCGUUCUUUUUUUUUUUUUUUCAUUUCUUAGUAGAUCUUUAUUGACUUCUUGCUUUCAUGUGAUUUGGUUUGUAAAUGGCAGCUUUGAUGGAAAGUUAAAAAGGUCUAUAAUUUUUGGAUGCUAAGGAAGUGGCAUAUCAUGAAGUUUCUAUAGUCAAAUUGACGUAUUUUUUAAAUACUUAUUUUUUUAUUUUGUAGUAUUUAUCGAUAAUUAUAAAUUAUUUUAGGGAAAAUUACCCGGAUUAGUCAUUAUUGGACUUUUAUUACCACUUAAAGCCUAAUUUUUAAUUAAUUACAAUUCAUAGCCCCCUCUUGCCUAUUAAUUAUUCUUAAUUACAAUUCAUAGUCUUUCUCAUGUAUUUUCUCUCUUUUUCUAAUUUCUAUUAUUCUUUUUUUUUUCCUUUUUCAGUUUUUCUUUUCCUUUUUUUUGUUGCUUUCUCUUUAUUUUUUCUUUUUUCAGUUUUUUCCUUAUUCUUUUUAUUUUUUUAUUCAUUUUUUUCUUUUUCUUUUUUUCCUUUUCAUUUUUCUCCUUUCUUCUUCUUCUUCUUCUUCUUCUUCUUCUUUUUUUUAUAUGUUUCUCCUUCAUUUUUUUCUCCUUCUUUUUCUCUCAUUUUUCUCCUUUUUUUUUUCUUUUCAAAUUUUCUCCUUCUUUUCAUUUGUGUGAACUAGCAAACACAAAUACAAGUGCGAACUAUAAAAUAUAAAUACAAAUUCAAACUAUAACAUACAAAUACAAGUGCGAACUAUAAAAUAUAAAUNNNNNNNNNNNNNNNNNNNNNNNNNNNNNNNNNNNNNNNNNNNNNNNNNNNNNNNNNNNNNNNNNNNNNNNNNNNNNNNNNNNNNNNNNNNNNNNNNNNNNNNNNNNNNNNNNNNNNNNNNNNNNNNNNNNNNNNNNNNNNNNNNNNNNNNNNNNNNNNNNNNNNNNNNNNNNNNNNNNNNNNNNNNNNNNNNNNNNNNNNNNNNNNNNNNNNNNNNNNNNNNNNNNNNNNNNNNNNNNNNNNNACGACUAAAUACAAUAUGCAAUCAACUUACAAAUACAAAUACAAAAUAAUUUCUUAAAAAUAAAAAGGUAAUGAAGAAAAUAGAAUACAAAUACAAGUAUAAUCCAAUAUAUAAUCUAAAUAUACAAACACAAUAAAAUCAUAAUAUAAAUAUAAUCCAAUAUAAUAUGCAAUAAAUUACAAAAUACAAAUACAAAAUAGUUCUUUAAUAUACAAGUGUGAAUUAUAUAAAAUAUAAAUGAUGGCGCAAACUAACAAAUACAAAUCCAAGUGCGAACUAUUAAAUACAAAUACAAAUGCAAACUAUAAAAUAUAAAUACAAGUGCAAACUUUAAAAUACAAAUACAAAUACAGUUGUAUCAAUAAAUUAAAAAAUAUAAAUGGCUAUGUGACUACAAAUACGAUAAACAAUUGUGGUAUUUAUGUUAUCAUCCAUGACUUGUGCUCGACUAAUCAUAUUUUUCAAAAAUAUACAAAAUAUAAAAUAGAACAAAAAUAAUAAUAAAGAAAAUAAGUACAAAAAAGAAAAUAAAAAAAUCAAAAUAGAAAGAGAAAUAGAAGUUAGAGAUUAAAGAGAGAAAAAAAGAAAAAAAAAAGAAAGAAACAAAAAAAAUAAAAGUAGGAAAAAUAAAAAAAAGCAAAAAAAUCGAAAAAACACAAAAAAUAAAAAAAGAUAAUGGUAGUGUUAGGCAAGAAAAUAUUCAGUUUAACGAGAUAAGCGUGAUUGAAAUUUUUUAAAAUAAUACAUAAAUAUAACCCUAAAAUUGACACCAAAUUAUAACUUUGACCUUAAACUUUGAUAGUGCACAAAUAGGACCUUUAACUAUUCAAAACCUGAAAAAAUAUGACCUCUAAUUUUGCAACCCCAUGCGUGAGUUUCACUCGCGCAUACGUGGAAAGGUAAUUCAAUCACAUGGUGCCACGUCACUAAAAGGGUUGACUUAGAGGAAAGUCAUAUUUGUGCAGUUUUGAAUAGUUAAAGGUCAUAUUUGUGCACUGUCAAAGUUUUACUUUUUGUGUUGAAACGACGUCGUUUUAUUAUUAUUAUUAUUUAUUUAUUUAUUUAUUUCUAUAGCAGCAACACCUAGCUUUUUUUUAAUUAAAAAAUCAAACCCGCGCAGUAGGCUGAAGGAAGCGUCCAACAAAGAGCAAACAACACCACUGAGCUAUCUAAGUGUCUUGUUUCAUGUGGCUCAAUUAAUAUAUGUACAUAAAUAUAAAUUUUCUACCUUAUAUAUAUAGCGUAAUUUUUUUACUGAGGGGGGUCGGGUGAACCCCAUGGCAACCACGUAGGUCCACCCCUGCGUUAAUUUAACAACGUUUUAAUAACAUUGUAAUAACGUUAAUUUGAUAACGUUAAUUUAAUAUACUAUUACUACUAUUCUUAAUAACGUUAAUUUAAUAACGUUUUAUUAAAACUAAAAAUUUUUUUAUUAUUAGUAUAGCUUCAUCUUUAAUUUAAUAUUUAAAUAAAUUAUAUUUAGAUAUAUUAUAUAACUUAAAUUCGUCCUCUGCUUUAUAAUAUAUAUAUAUACAUACCAGCACAAUUUUUUCGUAUGAUCCUGACCCACCUAAUUAAUAAAUCUUCACUAUUGCUCUUUUUCCGCAAUGACAAAAGAAAUUAGAUGUCAUUUUCAUCUUUGAGCCGAAAAUAAUGAAAAAUAAUAGUGAAAAGUCAUUUAAGGUCAUAUUUGUGCAUUUUUGAAUAGUUAAAGAUCAUAUUUGUGCACUGCAAAAGUUUAAGAUCAUAUUUAUGUAUUAUGCCCUUAGAUUUUAAGCUGGACGCGCCCAGUUUUACGUGUUGAACAUGCGUUUUUCCACGUAGGAUCGGAGGUCAUAUUUGUGCAGUUUUGAAUAGUUAAAAGUUAUAUUUGUGCACUGUCAAAGUUUAAGGUCAAAGUUAUAAUUUGGUGUCAAGUUUAGGGUGAUAUUUAUUAUUAUCUCAAUUUUUUGUCUUUUUAAAAAUAUGGAAUUCCAUUUUUGGCGCGACUAAAUAGGGACUGUAUUCAUAUUUUAUAUGAAUACAUACUAUCUGUAAAAUCGAAUACAACGACUAUAAAUGGUAAUUAUGUAAAAUGUGGCUAUGGAAGAUGAGUUUUAUAGCAAAAUACUGUUAUUUUUGAAAGAUCCCCUAAAUUUUAUAAUCAAUUUAAGCUGUUUUGAGGCACAAACUUUCUUUAUUUUGUAGUUAUUUAUUUUAUACCUUUUUUUAAUAAUAAGCUCUAUAUAACUUUUUGGAUAUUUGAGUAUUUAAUGUUGUGAUCAAAUUGAUGCAAGAUGAAAGGCUUUAUAUUGUUUGAAAAUUUUGUUAUGGUUUUUGCCCUGAUUUUCUUAUUAUAUUUCAGUUUUAUUUUUUUCUUAGAAGGAAAAUAAAAGUUACCAUAAUUACUUUUACUUUUCCUGAAAGAAAAAAUAUAAUUCUUUUUCAUAUUUGGCUAACCUCUUUCUUGGAGGAAAGGUUUUGAACAUUUAUAAAUUGAAGACCCCCUUCUCAUACUAUAACAUAAUAGCAUUCACAAUGUAGUCUUUUAAGAUUUUUGUUUAGGGGAAGAUUUUCUCUCUUAUUAGUUUUAUGUUUUUUAAUAAUAGGUUUUAUAUGUAGGCCAAUUGGCCAAAUCAUAUAAUAAAAUUAUAUUUUUAGUAUCGUUUUUCGUUGUCAUCUUAUUUAUCGUCUCAUAGGUUGUAACUAAUAGCUUCUGCAUGAUGCCCUCUCGAUUUCGAACCCAACAAGUGGUAUCAGAGCUUAUGAUUCAAUGGUCCAAUGGUGUGGUUAGACGUGAUUAAACCAGGUUCAAAGUGGUUUCAAAAUCAAGCUGCAACAAUUUGGAUGAUAAUGAAGAUUUUUGUCGAACUACAUGUGGAGAACAAGUUUCAAUCAUAUUUUCAACACUCCUUCUGCUGCAUCUUUAAAAAUAAAAAUAAAAUAUUAUGUUUAAAUCAAUUUUUAACCAUGAUAUUUUAAACCUUAUUUUGAACCAUGACAAGCAGCAGUUAUGAAUAUUAUAUCAAGAACGAAGUUCAUGCACGUGAUAUGAAGAGAAGACAGAUCAAGUGAAGAAAAUCAAGCCAAAAAGGAGGGAUUUGUUAGGGUUUUUGCCCUGAUUUUCUUACUAUAUUUAAGUUUUAUUUUUUCUUAGAAGGAAAAUAAAAGUUACCAUAAUUACUUUUAAUUUUCUUGAAAGAAAAAAUACAAUUCUUUUUCAUAUUUGGCUAACCUCUUUCUUGGAGAAAAAGUUUUGGACAUAUAUAAAUAGAAGACCCCUUUCUCAUACCAUAACACAAUAGCAUCCACAACGUAGUCUUUUAAGAUUUUCGUUUAGGGGGAGAUUUUCUCUCUUAUUAGUUUUAUGUUUUUUAAUAUUAGGUUUUAUAUAUAGGUCAAUUGGCCAAAUCAUAUAAUAAAAUUAUGGUUUUAGUAUUGUUUUUCGUUGUCAUCUUAUUUAUCGUCUCAUAGUUUGCAACUAAUAGCUUCUGCAUGACGCCCUCUCAAUUUCGAGCCCAACAAAUUCGACCAUAUGUUUGUACAAUUGUACUGCAUGAAUCAAGUAUUCUAUUUAAACAUGCAAUUUGAUUUUUUUAAAUGGUGAGAGGCGGAAAUAUUUUUAUUUAGUUUUAUAAAGUAUUGUUCAACAAUAUAAUUUAAAUGUUAACUAACAAAUAUUUGUUACUAAUAUCGAUUACUCGGUAGUAGGUACUUCUCCGUUCAACUUUACUUGUCCACUUUUCUAUUGGCAUAUGAAUUAAGAAGGUAAAUGAUAGGGGUAAUUUUAUCAUAUUACCCUUUGAAUAUAAUAAAUUUAAUGCUUUAGAAAAUACAUUAGAUAAUAAAUUGUAUUUAAUAUUGAGGGUAAAAUGGAUAGAAAUAGGUAAAUUAUUCAUUGGUUUAUAAACUAGACAAGUAUUGUUGGACAUCCCAAAAUAGAAAAGUGUACAAGCAAAUAUGAACGGAAAGAGUAUGAAACUGUGGUUUUUCAUUUUCCUCUUUCCGCAAACUAUUGUUUUGGUAGUCUUUUGAUUUGCACUAAAAAAGACAUAAUAUACUUUAAACUUUUAGGGGGUCGUUUGGUGUGAGGGAUAAGGAGAGGUAAUCUCGGGAUAAUUUUUUAGUACCUUGUUAUCCCUUGUUUGGUUACAAAGCAUGGGAUAACUUACCCUAGGAUUAAUUAAUCAAUCCUGGGAUAAGUUAUCCCUACCUCUGAGCGGGAUAAUAAUACUGAGAUAACUUAUUUCAGGAUAAAAGGAUUAAAUUGACAAAGAUACCCCUCAAUUUCUUUUUAUAAAUUACUUUUCACAUUCUUUUCCCAAUUUAUCUAUCAAUAAAAUAGUUAAAUUGAUAAAAAUAGUAUAUGCACUCUUUUAUAUCUUAGGCGUCUAGGCAUAUAUUUGAUGUUUAUGCCAUUACAAAUUCUAUUUUCACGGAUUUUUUUUUUAAAGAAAGGUAGCAAUACUUGUAUAAAAUUUUCUACAUAACAAAGUAUUGCAAAGUGCGAACUAUUAAAUUCAAUACUUAUAUAAAAUAAGAGAAAAUACAUCAAAACACCCUUAAACUUGUCCGCAAAACUCACUUUAGCAAUUUAACUUUACGGAUAAUUAUUUACCCCUCUAAACAACUUUAAAGUGAAUUUUCUACAACCCAAAAAAUAUUAUACCACUCUCACUAUGGGAAGUGCAUUACACACACGCCGACGUGGGCGCCACGUCGGCGCUACAUCAGAGCCUCACAAUUUUUUUUUAAAAUACUUUCUUCUCAAAAAUCCCCAUACCCCUCUUUUCUUCUCCUCUUCAUCCCCCACCCCACCCCUCGACCCAAAAAUUGUUUCUUCUUCAAAUCCGUUCCCCCACCCUUUCACCUCUGCCAUGCUUUCAUUUUUUUAAGAUUUAGUAUUUUUAAUUUUGGAUUCAAAAUUUUGAAAUUGGUGCAUUUUCAUAUGGACAUUUCUAAUUUGUUCAUCAAAACAAAAAUUCGAUCAAUAUGGAUGAACUAUUGAGAAAAAAUGAUUGUGAUGGAAUAAAUUAAAUUUUUUUGAAGAUUUUUUCGUAAGAAUUCACAAAAAAUUGAAUCAUUUUCAGUCUCAGCUGGUGGAAUCAAUAUCAAAUUGAAGUUCUCAAAACUUGUUUGGCUGAAAAAUUCAAUUUUUGUAUGGGAGAAAGAUUCAACUGUUGAUUGGCCUGUAAACCUAUGAAAUUUAUUCAAAAAUAGAAGUAGGAGCUUCAAAAAAUCCAACUGAUCGGAGGAACUCAGACAAAAAAAAUUAAUUUAUACCAACUGUAGAUUGGGCUGUUGCAAGAACCCAUACACAAAAAAUAUUUUGAUAUGUAUUUGAUUGUAGUUGGUUGAUGGGUGUAAAAAAAAGAAAUAGAGAACAAGAGGAGAGGGGGUGGUGAGGUGAGAAGAAGAUGAUGUAGGAGAUAAUUUGGUAGCUGAAAAUAAAUAAAUGGGGCCUACUAAAUUUUUUUUUAACUUCAAUGCACGAAUUUUAAUAAAUGUUGCCACGUUAGCUCUUGAGGUUGUAAAAAAUUUAGUUGAAGGUUGUUUAGGGGGUAAAUAAUUACCCGUGAAGUUAAAGUGCUAAAGUAAGUUUUGCGGACAAGUUUAAGGGUGUUUUGAUGUAUUUUCUCUUUAAUGAAAAUAAUUUACUCUAAAAACUACCUUCCAUUGAAAGUUGGAGUGGUUUCUACUAAAUGAAAGGAACCCUUCUAUGGUUUACAAGGUUGAAUACAACACUACAAAGAAUAGUCAUGAAAUGCAAAUAUUUAAGUUAAAUUAGGUGGGAGAAUUUAUUUUUAAGGAUAAAUAACUUAAUUUUUGCUAAGAAAAUAUAAAAGUAAAAAAAGUAGAAGGGUAUUUUUUGUAAACAAACAAUUUAUUCUUAGAUAUUAUGCAAUCCAUAUUAUUUUUAAUACAAUAAAUCAAACACUCAAUAAAAAAUAAUACCAGGAUAACUAAUCCCAGAAUAACUAAUACCAUUUAUAACUAAUUCUGGUAUAACUUAUCCUAUCAUAACUUGUGUUCAAACCAAAUGACCCCUUAGAUCUUAUGUUCAUACUCAGAAUUGUUAGUACAUUUGUUUUUAUUUCAAAUUAGGUAAUGAAGGGCCCGCUUAUGGGCCCAAUAUUAUAAUUUUAAAUAUACUUAUAUCUAUUUAAUUUAUUUUUAAAUGGUCAUUAAUAUUUUUAAAUAAAACAUAAUAGAAAAUGUAAGUAGAAAUCACAAUAUAUAAUAAAAUAUAACUUCUUAUUUUUACAAAAUCAAAUAAUAUCUUAUAACUUAUUUUAAGUUUUAUAAUUAACAUUAAAAUGUCAUAUAUUCUAAUAAUUAUUUUAACAUCAGCUCAAACGCAUUCUCUUAGAUUACACAGCUAAUUGUAAUAUUUUUCUUUUCUACUUUAUUUAAAAAUUAUACAAGAGAAUAGAUUAAAAUUAUAAAUAUCUAUUUAUUAACAUUUUAUAAAGAAUCAUAUGAAGCAAUAAAGGAUAUUAAUUCAUACAUAAAUUGAUUUUAAAUAUAUUUAGAUUCAUUAUUUGGGUGUUUAAUAAACAAAAAUAAGGAUAUACCGGAUGAACAUUUUAAUGAAUCAUAGUGUUAAAGGAUUGCCUUUAUGUCAUGUCUUAUAUACGUUAAAAAUAAGAGACCAAUUUAAUAUAAUAAGAAAGAAAUUACUUUUUAGGUGAUAUGUCUACCUGAUGAGGAAAUUACUACGUCACAUAAAGAGAAUCAAAAGAAUUAAUAAAAGUUAUCAUGAUAUAUAUUGUAGUAAUUUAACAUGAGAUAGUUAAUAUUACAUUUUAAAUUAGUUGUUUAAAAUAAUUUUAAUAAGUGCUGAGUAAAUAAUUAUGUUUUCAUAAAUUAUACGUUCUGCAAAUCUUUGUGAUGAUAUGUAUCAUGUGAAGUUUUAAAAUUAUCGAGGAAUCGCUUAUUGUGUUUGAUAGAUAAACACCUAUUUAAUAUUUAGGAAUAUUUUUUGAGAAAAUACCGAAUUACCCCCCUGAACUAUACCCAAAAAGGUUAUGACACACCUCAACUUAAAGGGGGUCUUAUUACCCCCUGAACUAAUUAAAAGUGUAUUUUUGAUACCCUUAGUGCCUACGUGGUGCCUACGUGGCACUUACGUGUGCCUACGUGGACACUUCAGUGUGUCGUGUCACGUAUGUGUCACGUAGGCACCACGUAGGCACUAAGAGUGUCAAAAUUACACUUUUAAUAAGUUCAGGGGGGUAAUAGGACCCCCUUUAAGUUGAGGUGAGUCAUGACAUUUUUGGGUAUAGUUCAGGGGGGUAAUUAGGUAUUAUCUCAUAUUUUUUUAUUAUCUUACUAUAAUAUAGUAUAUUUACUUUAUGCAAUUAAUUGUUUGGCUAAAAUUAAUUUCACAUUUUUAUCUUUUAUGAAACAUAUCUGAGUAUUUGCUCAUCCUCCUAUAAAUGACGUCUUCCUUUAUUUCAAUUUAUAACUUUUUGAUUAGACAUCGAAUUUAAGUUAUAUGAAAAAACUUCGCAAUGUUUCAAAUUAUCUUGAAAAUAAAUAAACCUUAAAUAGAAGAGUAUACCUUUGUGGACUUUUUGACAAAUAAAUGAAAUUCAACAUGACUAAAAUAUUAAUAAUGUUAUAGAAUACUAACCAAAUAAAAAAUGUCAAUUCUUUUUUAGAACUGAUUAAAAAAAUAUAUAUUAUUUGAACUGAGACAUAGGAGGUAUAAUUGAUAAUGGAAAAAUUAUUAUCAUCACGUAAUAUAUAUUUCAUUUUUUCAAGUUUGUUCGGAUUGUAAACACAUAAAAGUAUAUCCAAAUAGAUGAUCGUAAUAUUCUAGAAUUGAAUUUAUAAAUCAAAUUAAAAUUUUAUAAAUAAUAUUAUCUACAUUGAUUCGAUCUUGUUCAAAAAAUCAAGUUGAUCUAAUUUGGGCACAAACUUGAUCUCAAAUCUUAUAAAUAUUUUAUAUGUUUUUGUUUAGAAUUAAAUUUCAUAUUCUUUUAUGAAAGUUUUCUAAGUAUACGAUAAUAUAGUUACAUUUUUUUUAUAAAUAUUUGUAUUCUAAUAAAAUAAAAGUGAAAAUUUCAAAUCCUAAAAAAGAAUUAAAAUUUAGAUAAUAUCUCAUCAAAAUAGAUUAAUUAUUAAUAUACAAAACAUAUUUUUUGAAAAAUUAUGCUUGAAAAAAUAUGAGGCCCACCUUAAAUGUCACAUCAUUAGGACACACUUGACAUUUUGGGAAAGAUGUUAGGCUAUUUUGUCAUUUUGAAAUUUAUGACCAACUUUUAAGACGAUAUAAUAGAAACACAUAUUCUAGAAUAUUUAUGAAAUGACAAUUUUAUCCUUGGUGGUCCUCCAGCUCACUCUUCUAUAUAGUAAAAAUUAGAUGACGUAGAUUGUAAAUUCAACAGCGUCGUUUAUGACCGCAUACAAUGCGGAUAUAUUCAUUAGAUAAUAAUAGGUUAUGAAUGAUGUACAUAGACAAUUGAACAUGCUUAAAAUAAAGAAAAAAUGGUCAAAUUUAUUUCUUUACUUUGAAAAAUUAGUUAAAUAUACUCAUCCUACUUUAGGGUCAAAUUGAGCUUCGCUGCUAUACUUUGAGGUCAAGUUUACCCUUAUUGUUAAGAAACUUUUCACAUGUACCCUUCCUUUAAUAGAAAAGCUCAAAUCAAUAUUAAAUGCCUAAUAUUUUUAAAAAUAAAUCACACCCUAAUAUAACCUGAUUCGAUCCACAAAAAGAUACAAAUAAAUAUACCCCUCACUAGAUUCUGUUGAUAUCCAUUUGACCGCUAACUGCAUACCGAAUUUUGAAAUAUCCAGUGGGCCUAAUCUGUUGCAUUUGAACGCUAAGUGCCAUUUUUUAUGAGUUCUGCACUGAUACAGAUCGAUGAACUGAGGGAGGGGUAUAUUUGUUUAUGACUGCACUGAUGUAGGUUCAUUUUUCAUGAGCUAUGCACUAAUAAAUAUCCAGUGUCCUAAUUUCGUUGGGAUAAUUUGACCAUUAAAAUUGAGGAAGAGGUAUAUUUGUUUCAAAUGUUUGCAUCUUUUUGGUGGAUAAGGUCGGGUUUAUAUUAGGUUGUGUUUUAUUUUUUAAACAUGAGGCAUUUAAUGUUGAUUUGAGCUUUUAUAUUAAAGGAAUGCUACAUGUGAAAAGUUUCUUAACAGUGAGGGUAAAUUUGGCCCCAAAGUAUGAUAGCGAGGAUAAAUUUGACCCAAAGUAUGACAAAAGUGUUAUAAAUGUAUUUAUAUUAUAGUGAAUGUCUAUAUAGAUAAGAUCUAUCAAGAUCUAAUAAGAUCUAUCAAUAUCUAGUUUCUAUCUAUUAGGAUUUGAAGUAUCUGUCUUUUAGUCAGAAACUAGGAGUAAAUUUUCCCUAUAAAUAGAAGGGCUUCCUUCAUUGUAAAUCAUCCUCAAGGAUCCUAAGAGAUCCCUCAAGAGAAAUAAUAAUUACUAUCUCUUCUCUCUACUCUUGUUCUUCUUUAUUCUCUGUUAUUCUAUAACACGUUAUCAGGAGAGACUCUACCGUCUUAUCAGUACGAGACUCUUCAGUAUCAAAUUUGAAGGCUAAGGUAUUAUUUUCUUUCUUUUCAUAUUGCUAAUAAUCUUACAAAAUUUAAGUUCGUUGCCUAGAGCAAGAACUACCUUUAAUGAGUAUUAAAUGCUAAAAUUCACUUAGAUGCUAUGGGUCUUGGAGAUGCCAUAAAGAAAGAAAAUAUAGCAUCUCAUCAAAAUCAUGCUAAGGGUAUGAUUUUCUUGCAUCAUCAUCGUGAUGAAAUUCUGAAAAUUGAAUACCUUACUACUAAGGAACCACUUGUUUUGUGGAAUAGUCUAAAAAAAGAUUUGGCCACUUGAAGAUAGUCAUCCUCCUAAAAGCACGAUAUGAAUGCAUGCAUCAUGAAAAUACGAUGUUGGGUUCAAGUCCCAUAGAUUUAUGCCUAAGACGCCUUUAUAUGGAUAAGACAUUGAGUUUGAAUCUCAAUGCACCUUAUUGAUAAUAUAAUGAUGGCUAAGGUAAAAUAAUGUGAUUUUGAUAAAAAGACAUGAAUCUGUCCCAUUCAUAUGCUCAGAAGUGAAUGUGGUAGCAAUAUAUGAUAAGUCAAAUUGCUCCAUUCUUGAAGUGAAUGCGGUAGCAAUAUAAGAUAAGUCUGAAAAAUGGCAAAUUACUCUAUUCUUGAAGUGAAUAUUGUAGCAAUAUAUGAUAUACCCCGAAAGGUAUGUUAAGAGAAAAAUACUCUACAUUAUAUGCACACCUCGAUUUGCUCUUAAAUUAGCAAUAUUUUAAAAGAGGUUAUAAGCUAUCAUAAUUUGAUAGGCUUAAGGCACGAUUAUAUUUCAUACCUGGGAAUAAAAUUUUUAAUUAUUAUAAGCACAGAUCUAUUCCCUGAGGUGAAUGUGAUAAUAUUUAAUAACGCUUAUUAAUAUAAAUGUGCACUUGAUUAUGAUUGUAUCACACACAACUUAUCUCUCGAAAAGGUAGAAUAACUGAGAAGAGUUAUUUUGAAAUUUACUUCUGAAGUAGUAAAUCUGAACUUUAUUUAUGUAAUAGUAAAUAUUAAAUUUACUAAAGUAAAAGGUAUGUAUCAUGGUAAACUUGGAGUUUGCUAGAAUAAAAGUUCAUAAAUUGAUAUGAACAAUUAUGACAUUUCAAAAAUGUGCAUAUUGAGUAUUGGAUAUGUAAUGAAGAACUAAAAGAUUCUUCAAAAAUUAUCUAUAUUGUUUGCUCUCAUGAUAAGUUGGUUGGACCAACUAAUUUUGGGAUUGGAUCCCUUAAAAUCUGAAAAAUAUAAAAGGUGAAUAAGUGCCCAUUCACCUAUCAUGUGAUAAGUUUUGAAAAGAUACAUCAAUAAGAUAAUCACAUGUACGUUUAUUGUCAACCUACAGUUUGACAUUCAUAAAGUUGUAGCUCAAUAAAAUUAAGUUAAGUGCAUAACUUUCAGAUUGUGUAAUCAAGAUAAUUCAUCUUGAUGAUGAUGGUUUAGCAUUGAAUGCCUUUGAUAAAUAGCUGAACCAUUGCUAAUGAGAACAGAAGCUUCAUGUGUUGAUUUGAAUAUUAUAUACAAAAGUAAUUGUAUGCAUCAAAUCAAUUAAUUAUGAUUAAUUUCCCCUCAAAGUUGGUUCUGAGUCAGGAACUACACGUUGUCCAUCUAAUAGUUUUGAUGUACGGUAUACGAUUAAUGAAUAUACAAAAAUGCAUAAAGAUGAAUUCUUCAAAGAAAAUGGAGGAUGUAUGCUAGUUUUUCUAACAUAAGGGGAGAUUAUAAGAAGCUAUGAAGUAUGUUAGGAAUUAUCAUUAGAUCCUCAUUCAAAAGAUAAUUCAAGUCAAAUGCCAUCUCAUGUUUAAGCGACAAGUGCUCUUAUUUUAUGUCCCUGAAGGACAAAGUCUGUGCAUGUGUGAAGCGUGGUAGACCAAUCGGUUCCAAAUGAAAUGAUCCUUGAAAAGGAUAAGGAGCAAAUAAUCAUAAUAAAAAGGCGAUGUGCUCUUAAAGAAUCUACGACAUAACACUUUAUGAAAUGUUAUGAGAGGUUCAGGUACCUGAAAAUAAUGAAGUGAUGAGAUCUCAAAAUGUUAUAUCACACUGUGAAUCGAUACAAAAUGAUAUAUUAUUAGUAUCUUUGAUAUAAUAUUGGCGCAAUAUUAUAAAGUAUUACGAGGAUCUAAAUUCUACUUUUAUUUAAGUAUACUGACGUAGAAACAUUUAUCAAGUGAUAUGAAAGGAUGCAUCUUGGUAAGCAUAAAAAUUAUUUGAUUUGCAGUCCAGAUACUUUAAGAUGUCACACAUAUUGAUGUUGUCACUUGAUAAAAAUCUAUAUGAAAAUUCCUAAAGGAUUUAAAAUGCCUAAAACAUAUAAAGUUUCUGGAAAACUUGUUUAUUAUCCUUAUAAGGGAUAAAUUGAUGGUUUGAAUAUUAUUGAAACUCUUGGAGAUUUUUCAAAGAAAUAGAUUAUUUGAUGAAAUAAAAAAUAUAUCAAUUUAGAUUGGUUAUGAAGUACCAUAUCUUAGUGCAGUUGGUGCACUAAUGUAUCUUGCAAAUACUACAAGGCAUGGCAUAGCCUUUUUUGAUAAAUUUGGUAACAAGGUAUAUAUAGUUCUGCUCCUAAUAGGAGACAUCAGAAUAUCAUCAAACAUAUGAGCUUAUUUUAUUCUGAAGAUUAUAAUUCCAAUCUUAUUGAUUAUGCUGAUGCUGGGUACUUAUCUGAUCCGUAUAAAGCUCGAUCUCAAAUAAGCUAUAUGUCCACAUGUGGGGAUAUUGUCAUAUCUCUGAGAUAUACAAAGAAGUCUAUCUAGCCACUUCACCGAACCAUGCUGAGAUAAUAGCUAUUAAUGAACCAACCUAAGAAUGAGUAUGGUUGAGAUCCAUGAUACAUCUCAUUCGAGAAAAUAUAGUGGGAAAUGUUACAAUGUACCCACAAUUUUAUUCGAAGAUAACGCAAUAUGCAUAACACAACUUAAGAGAGGAUUUAUAAAAGGAGAUAGAAUAAAGCACACUUUAUCAAAGCUCUUCUACAUACAUGAGCUCCAAAAGAAUGGUUAUAUUAACAUGUAAUAGAUUCGUUCAAGUGACAAUGUGGAUGAUUUAUUCACCAAGUCUCCUCCAAUUGUAACUUUCAAGAAGAUGGUGCACAAGAUCGGGAUGCAAAGGCUCAAGGAUAUGCUCAUUAGGGGGAGUUAAUACGCAUUGUACUCUUUUUUACUUAUGAGGUUUUGUCCCACUGGUUUUCCUUGUAAGGUUUGUAAUGAGGCAGCCUAUAUGCGUAUCAAAUGUGUACUCUUUUUCCUUCACUAGAUUUUUUUUCUACUGGUUUUUUCUAGUAAGGUUUUAACGAGACACGCAAUCUAUCAAUUAGACAUUCAAGUGGGAGUGUUAUAAGUGUAUUUACAUUAUAGUGAAUGUAUAUAUAGAUAAGAUUUAUCAAGAUAUAGUUGAUAUCUAUCAGAAUUUGAAGUAUCUAUCUUUUAGUCAGAAACUAAAAGUAAAUUUUCCCUAUAAAUAGAAAGGUUUCCUUCAUUGUAAAUCAUCCUCAAGGAUCUCAAGAGAUCUCUCAAGAGAAAUAAGAAUCACUCUCUCUUCUCUCUACUCUUGUUCUUCUUUAUUCUUUGUUAUUUCAUAACAGAAAGAUAUAUAUAGCCAAUUUUCUUGUGUUUCUGUAUUUUAUUUGAUGUAUGUCUAUUUUGUUUCUUUUAUGUACCUAUUUACUGCUUAUGUAUUAUAUCUAGAACUGUUAGUGGAGACGGUGUGAUUUAUCAUUUGGGACAUUUUUUGCUUGUAGGUGACAUACUCAUAGUGUGUAUUUAUAUACCUUAUUUUCUACUUUGCUCAACCGACCUAUCAUAUGCACUGAGUAUAAAUAGACCGUGCUUAUCCCUACUAUACUCUUUCCAUGCAGAUCUUGAUACGAGUGCAUCGGGCAACAAUUAAGUUUGGGUAGUCAUUUGAUACAUUUAAGGUAGUGGCUACUCUAUGCUUUUAGAGUCGACCUCCAACCUAAUCCAAUCUAGUUUAUCUCUAAUUUUGUAUUCAGAGAUAGACUUAUGGUUUCUUCUUGGAUCUUCAGUUGUAUUUUCAGGCUUCAAGUUGUAUGUGGAUUAUUUUUACACUAUGACACCAGGUUUUGUGAUGGUUUAUAACAUUAUUAUUAUUCAUACUUCUACUAUUACUAUGCAUGGAUGAUUGGACCUUAUGAUUUUCCAUGACAUAUUAGUUUGAGUGAUUGUUUUACUUGUCAAGGCAUAGUCAUUAUAAGUUCCAUCAUGAUCUGAGUUUUUGGGUCAUGACAAAUUAAUAUCAGAUCAGUCAGGUUCAUACGUCUCAUCAGUGUAAAAAUAGGAUGUGUAUUAGAGUCUUGCAGAUCGGUACAUAGACGUCCAUAUCUAUCUUCAAGAGUUUAUAAGAUAUGUUUAGAAAAUUUCCUUUAUUUUAUUGCUUAUCAUAUAGAUUUUACCAUAUCCUAAUUUUAAAAUCGAGUUUUACUCUUUUUGAUGUAGAUGGUGAGAACUAGAUCCAAUGAUAAUAAGGAUGUAGAACUGACACUUGAGGAGAGAACAUAGCAUACGAUAUAAGGCAAGGGUUAUAGAUGGGCUUGAGUUAGAGGACGAAUAGAAAAAUCUGCCCCUUCUAGAGGUAGUACUAGAGGAUCUCUCCUGAGCUUGAGGUUGAGCAUUCUAGAGAUGUGGGUUCUACUCAUAUUCUAUAGAGUUUUACUACCCAGUAUUGAAGGGUUUAUUAAUUUAUUUGCUGACUCAUUUGGAGGGUGUUCCAUUGAGUGCACCUGGUAUUCCUCUAGCUCUAAGUGUUGCAUCUCUAUUUAUGUCAAAGUCUGCUUAUAGUGUUCCUCCGAUCUUGAGUGUGAUUUUUUCUAGUACUGGCAUCUACUUAUGGUAUUCCAUAGCCUCCAAGUGUUGUUCCUUCUUCUAUUCCAGUAUUUGAGCAUAGUAUCUGGAGUUUAGGGGUUCAAACUUCAUCAAUGUUACCUCUCCAGGUAGAAUAAUAGCUUACCAGAUUUACUAUGCCUCUUAUUACUUCGGGUCCUAUUAUGCCUUCUGAGGAUCAGAAGUGGUUUAAAAGAUUUACUCAUUUGUGUACGCCCAAGUUUAGUGGUGUUGUGGUUGAGAAUUUCUAUGAGUUCUUGAAUGAUUAUCGAGAUAAGUUGUAUAACGUUGGAUUGCUUGAGUCACAUGGAGUUACUUACACUACCUACCAGUUGAGAGAUAUAGCCAGAGAUUAGUUAAGGUCACUUGUUAGUUGUAAACCUCUUAGUUUGUCAAAGAUGACUUAUGAUCAGUUUGCUAAAGCUUUUUCGGAUAGGUUUGUGCAAUAAAGUUUAAGGGAUCAGAUAUUUGAUUAUUUAGUGCAGGGCUUCAUGACUAUUUUUAAGUAUGAGGCACGUUUCCAUACCUUGUCCAGAUAUUCUAUUGCCAGUAUUGCCACUGAGUCUGAGAAGAUUUAAAAGUUUGUAAAGGGAUUAGAUACUAUUUUUUAGUUAGCUAGUGUCCAGAUGAUGGUGUCAGGGGCCUCAUUCCAGAGUGUGGUGGAUCAUGCAAAGAUGACUGAGGCUAUUUUUCAAUCUACUCAGGGAAGCGCCAAGAGAGGUGCUGUCAGGGUAAGUUGAAUGGUCAUAUUCCUCGAGGCAGAUAUUUCAAAGGUUCCCAUGGGUACCAUGGUAGACCAGUGCAGGCAGUUUUGCAGGGUUCAGGUAGUAGGACUUCUGUUUUAACAGCUUUGGGUAGUCGGGCAUUAUCCCAAGAUUGUUGUUCUAACUUAAUUGUGCCUCCUCAGAUUAAGUCAGGCCGUAGAGGUUGCUAUAUGUGUAAUGAAUUUAGCUAUGUGUCCAAGGAUUAUCCCCACCAUAUUUUCAGGCCUAAUCCUAUAUUAGUAGUAAGAGGUGAUCCUCAGGGUGGUAGAGGUGCUACUAGAGGUGCACAAGAUAGAGGUAGUGGUACCCGUGUUGGUGGUCGUGGUUAUACCCAGUCUAAUUGCGAAUGUGGACUGUGCUAUACUAUACCUUCCAAACUUGAGGUAGAGUCUUUCGAUGUUGUUAUCACAGAUAUCAUCCCUAUUUAUUUUUGAUCUAUAUCUAUGUUAUUAGAUCCGAGAUUGACUUUCUCCUAUGUGUCUACAUAUUUUGCUUUAGGUUUUUAUUCUAUUAGUGAGUCUUUUGCCAUCCCUAUCCAUCUGUCUACCCUCGUAGGAGACUCUUCAAUAGUGUAUCAGGUAUAUCGAUCUUGUGUUGUGACCUUCGCUGCCCAUGAGACUUGGGUUGAUCUGAUUAUCCUAGAUAUGGUAGAUUUUGAUGUCAUCUUAGGUAUGGAUUGGUUAGCUCCCUAUCAUGCCAUUCUAGGCUGUUAUGCCAAGACUGUGACUUUAGCUUCACCGGGUGUGCCAAGGAUAGCUUGGAAGGGUUUACUUUAUUUGGGUCCUAAGAGAGUUAUAUUCUUUCUUUGGGAUCAUCGCUUGGUAUAAAGAGGAUGUUAUCUUAUUUGGACCAUAUUCGUGAUACUAGUAUUGAUUCACUUCCUUCUUAGGAUAUGUCCAUAUUAUUCGUGAGUUCAUGGAUAUUUUUUCUACAGAUUGCCUAGUAUGUCUCUGAAUCAUGAUAUUGACUUUGCUAUUGAUGUUGAGCUAAGAACCAAUCCAUUUCUAUUUCUCCUUAUAAGAUGGCCCCAAUGGAUUUAAAUAAAUUAAAGGAUCAAUUGCAGGAAUUGUUAGAUAAGGGAUUUAUCCGAUCAAGUGUAUUACCUUGGAGUGCACGUAUCUUGUAUGUAAAAGAAAUGGGUCUAUGUGUAUAUGUAUUGAUUAUUAUCAGUUGAACAAGGUGACAGUUAAGAAUAAGUAUCCUCUUCCUCGUAUUAACGACUUGUUUGAUCAGCUUCAGGGUGCUUUGGUGUUUUCAAAGAUUGAUUUAAGGUCUAGGUAUCACCAGUUGAGAAUUAGAGCUUCAAAUAUUUUGAAGAUAUUCUCUUGGAAUUGGUACGGUCAUUAUAAGUUCUUGGUCAUGUCCUUUGGGUUAAUUAAUAACCCAGCCUCGUUCAUGGAGUUGAUAAACUGAAUAUUUUGAUUGUAUCUUGACUCAUUUGUCAUUGAAUUUAUAGGUUAUAUCUUGGUUUACUCCAAAAGUGAGGUCAAUCAUAAAGAGCAUUUGCGGGUUGUAUUCAAAGGCUGAGAGAUGAGAGGUUGUAUGCUUAAUUCUCCACGUGCUAGUCUUGGUUGGAUUCUGUCUCUUUCUUGGGUCAUGUUGUGACCAAGGAUGGUAUCAUGGUUGAUGUAUAUGAUUGUAGUGGUUUGUGAUUGGGCUAGGCCUACUUCUCCUAUCUAGAUUUGGAGUUUUAAUGGUUUAUGUAAUACCCCAUAUUAUUCUUAGCUCAGUUUAUCUCCUAGUUACAUGCAUAAGAGGCUUAAAACCUGAAAAUUUCAUGAAGUGUUGCGGACUUAGUCUUAUUUUUGCCUCUUAACUUUGAGAAUUUUUAAAUUGGUCUUCCCGACCCUGAGAUAUUAGUUUUUGAGUUAAUUCAUGUUCAGGGGUGUAAGGAGCAUGUCUUGGGGAAGUUUCAGAUUUUUCAGGCAAGGAUUGGGUCGUGUUUGGAUUUUGAUUCCAGCAGUUCACUGCGAUAGCAUCGCAUUGCACUGCUUAUAGUGAUGAGACACUCACCACAUCGAAGUGCCCUUUAAUCUGCAUUCCAAUUAUGAAUUUAAUCUCCUGAGGGGCAGUUAUGUCUUUUCCCAUCGACCCAAUUCAUAAAAACACGAAUUAAAGAUUCAGUUAAGGCAUUAUUUGCCCAUAUUCUCUAAUUCCCUCUAAAAAAACCAUAAUCAUCUUCCAAGAACAUCAAACUCAAUUAUCUUUUCUCCAAGAAAACCAAGAAUUUAAGUUUUCCAAUCCAAGAACUUUCAAGAAAGCAUCCGAAUUAGUGUUCCUUUUUCAAGCUUAAGGGUUUAAGGUGUGUGUGAUGUUCAUUCAUGGGCCCUUUUCACCCAUGGAGUCCAAGAAUCUAUUUUUAUAUUUUAAAUGAUGAAUUUUACAUGUUUAUGGUGAAUUAUCUCCAUGAAGCUCUUAUGAAUUUCGAUUUAUGUAUUGUGUUUACAAGUGUUUUGAUGGAAUGAGUCUUUACACGUUUAAUGAUAAAAUUUUCAUGUUAAAUCCCUAACUCAUGGUCUUAGUAUUGUGAUUAUGUUAUUAUCACAUGAUUUACCUUACCUAUUCCCAUGCUUAAGUUCAUGACUCUCGUGUGUUUGAUGAAAUGCCUAAGUGUUGGAUUUUGAACAAUGAUUCCCUACUAUGUUUUCAAAGCUUGUAUAAGUCCUUAUUGUUAUUUCCAUUCAGUACUGGCACCCUUCUAAUUGGGGUAUAGGUUGGACCUUGAUUAACUCAAAUUGGGGCAUAUCAGUUAGAUGAUACCUCCCACAGUCUCAGUUCAAUAUUCAGUACAGAAUUUAGUUAAGGUUUUCUUGACCAUAGCAUACAGACUUCUAGUUAUUCAGUUAUCAGAUUUCAGUAAUUCAAUUUAUAGAUUAUUUUAGAAACAUUAUAUGUUUGGUCUUGCAUCCUUAGUAUUUUAGUUUUCAUGCAUUUAUGUUCAGUUAUCUCAUGCUAUACAGUCAGUCAUUAAUUUAUACACAGUUAAUCCAUAUAUUUUAGCCUAACCUUAUAUCAUAUACUCGUACAUUCAAAGUACUGAUCUCAUACUUACAUUGCACUAUGAUAUCUUAUAUCAUAGGUUUAGGCGCACAGUUUCCUGACUGCACUUAGAUAGUUCAGCAUUACAGCAACAACAACAGUGGCGAGUCCUCAUUCUUUGAGGACAAGUUUAUUUUUCAUUUAGUUAUUUUAGUAUUCCUUUAUUACAGUCAGUUGGAGUUAGUUAGGGGUUUGUCCCAUUAACUCCACAGUCGGUCAGUUAAAGGCUUUUCAGAUAUUCAGAUAGUCAAUUUGUUGAUCAGACUUAUUAGUUGGGUUUCAAUAUUUCUCACAGAUUUUUUAGACUUCCGAAUUCAGUUGUAUUUUCAUCAUUUAAAACCUUAUUGCAUUAUCAGUUGUUUCCGCAUAUGUCUUUAUUUAUCAGUUUACUAAAUGCUCACAGCAGGUACCAACUCAUGGGUUAUCUUGUGGUCAUUUGUGACCGUAAGCACCAUUGUCAUGAGUAGGGGAUAGCCUCGAGUCGUGACAGUUUAGCAAGCUAUAAACGGUGUUUUAUUGAGGGUUUUUAAUCUAUUGAAGCUACGUCAACCAAGUUAACUCAGAAUAAGAUUUCAUUUCACUGGUUUGAUACUUGUGAGGUGAGCUUUCAAAAGUUUACAGAUUUAUUAGCAUCAGCUCCUAUCUUGACUUUACCUAAGGAGGGUGUGGAAUUUACUGUCUUUUACAAUGCUUCUGAUAUUAGGUUAGGUAUUGUGUUGAUGCAGGAUUGUAAGGUUAUUAGUUCUCGUUAGUUGAAGUCCAAUGAGAAGAACUACCCUAACCAUGAUUUGGAGUUGUGUGCAGUUGUAUUUUCCUUGAAGUUGUGGAGGCACUAUUUGUAUGGAGUCCAUUGUGAGAUCUUCACAUAUCACCAUAGCCUUCAAUAUUUCUUUAUCCAGUGGGAUCUUAGUAUGAGGCAGUUCCAUUGGCUUGAGUUUCUUAAGGAUUAUGACCUUACUAUUCUCUAUCAUCCAACCAAGGCUAAUGUGAUUGCAGAUGCCUUGAACCAAAAGUCGACAUGUAUGGUAGCUUGGCUCAUCUUUUGAUCAAAAAGAGCCCUUUGGCCUUAGAGGUUCAGUCUUUGGCUGACCAAGAGGUUGGCCUGUAUCUAUGUUCAUGAGAUAGUUCAUCUCUAUGGUGUACCAGAGUCUAUUAUCUCAAAUAAAGGUUUAGUUUUCACUUCUCAUUUUUGGAAGGCAUUUCUAGAAGAGUUGGGAACCCGAGUUAAUCUUAGCACAACUUUUCACCCCCAGACUGAUGGUUAGUCGGAGAAAACUAUUAAGGUUUUUAGGGAAAUGUUUGUGCUUGUGUUAUGGACUUUGGAUGUUAGUCAGAGCAACAUUUAGCCUUAGUAGAGUUUGCAUGUAAUAAUAGCUACCAUUCCAGUAUUGAGAUGACACCCUUUGAGGCUUUGUAUUGUAGGCAUUAUUGUUCUCUGGUUGGUUGGUUUGAGGUUUCUGAUAUUAGACCUCGAGGUAUGGACUUGCUUCGUGAGUCUUUGAAAUAGAGUUUGGAUAUUUCAUAAUAGACUUAGAGUGGCUCAGAGUAGGUCAAAGUGUUAUGUGGAUUGUAUACUUCAUUCCUUGAGAUUUAGUAGAGGUGAUCGAGUCUUCCUUCAUGUUUCACCCAUGAGAGGCAUGAUGAGGUUUUGGAAGAAGGGUAAGCUUAGCCCCAGGUAUAUUGGGUUAUUUGAGAUUCUUUGGACUAUUGAGGAUGUAGCUUAUGAGUUAUCAUUAUCCCCAGAUUUAUCAACAGUUCGUCCAGUUUUUCAAGUAUCCAUGCUACGACAUUAUAUUCAGGAUGAGUCUCAUGUCAUUCAUUGGGACACAGUACAACUAAAUAAAAAGUUGUCCUUUAUUGAUGAGCCAGUCUUUAUUUUAGCUUAGGAUGUUAGGUGAUUGCAUUCUAGAGAUAUUCUGGUGGUUAAGGUUCAACGGAGACUCCGUCCUGUAGAUGAGGCUACUUAGGAGGUUGAGUUUGACAUGAGUAGUAGUCAUCCCCAGUUUUUUACUGAUUUAGAUAUUUCCCUAGCCUUUAGUUUGAGGAUGAUCUAGAUUCUUAGUGGUAGAUAUUGUAAGGACUUGAUCCGGUGAACUUUCCUUUUUAUGUGUUUUGACUAUUUAACCCCUCAUCGUAGUUGCUACGUGAUGUUUCUGGAGUGUGGGAAUGGUUGGAAUGGUUCCUAAUGGAAUUCAAAAUAAUUUGUGCGAGGUUGUGGUUUUUAGAGGUUAAACGGUCUUAUAGUUGACUUCUUUAACAAUUUAUUAUUUUGUGUCGCAUGACAAAACGGACUACGCUAACAAAUUCAAAACGUCAAUUUUGGGUUGGUAGUAUGGUUGAUGUGAUUUUAUGGCUUUUGGGUCUCAUUUUGACCAUUAGUUUGAAAAAUUGUGAAGAGGGUGUUUGGGUAAGCUUAUUUUUUUUGUCAAAAUGGCUUUUAAGCCAUUUUUUGCUUUUGGAAGUGUUUGGUAAUUCUUAAAAUUGCUUUUUAAAAGCCAAUUUUGGCUUUUUAGCCAAAAGUAAAAAGUAACCUCUCCCUUGCUUUUUUUGGGGGCUUGUAAGCCAAUUUAAGUUGACUAAGCAAAUGACAUAUAUAUCCCUUGUAAUUGUCCCGUAUUUCUAAUAUACCCUUUUGUAGCCCUUUUGUAGCCCGAAUAUAUAUAUAUAUAUUAACAUAUAUUAAUUUUAAUUUGAAUUAUUUUAGCAACAAAAAUUAAUAAUAAUCAACUCUAUAUUUUAUAAACAGCUAUAAGGGGAUUUCAGACAUUUUGACCAAAAAAGUGCUUAAAAGCACUUAUUUACCAAACACAUCAAUAAUUUUUUUUCAGUUUCAGUACUUUUACCCAAACAGUAACUUAUUAUUUUUAAAAUAAAUUCAGCACUUUCAAAAGCACUUUUAAAGAAUUUUUUAAAAGCCAUUUUUUUAGCCUAUCCAAACGGGCCCAAAAUUGGGUCUCAACAGUCAAUUUUGUAAACACAACCUCUUUUCAAAAACCUAAUGUCUCCAUCGAGUUUGAAACAUCAAAUUUUAGCUUUGUAGCAUAUUUUGUUUGCCUUCACGAGAUUCCAAAUGAAUCCUGAGGGUUUGAUCUGAAACUUUGCAUUUUUAGUAAAGUUGCUUGUGCUGGUAUAUCUGGUAUGGCCUCUUUAGCGGGCCAUGCCAGACCAUCGCUUUAGCGGUAUGGGGACCUCUUUAACGGUCAACCCCUUAUCGGUCAGACCGCUUUAGCGGUCGACCUGUGCUAAAGCGGUCAAUGUUGUGUCAUUUUAAAAGUAUCCCUUCUCAAUUUUACUUCCAUUUUUGAGACUUCUAGCUUCGAGUUGAGAGGAUUUUGGAUGAAUUCUUCCAUCUUCGAGCUUGGGUAAGCCCCAAAUCACUAUUUCAAUUAUUUUACUUUGAUUCUUGUCAUCUAAAAUCCGUUAAUUCAUAAUUUUAGAAGUGAGGUUUGAGGAUUUUGGUUCGGAAGGUUUAAAAUGAUUUUUCUUCAAUUUAAAUCCCGUUUUAACCCAUUCUCACUUGAUAUUUAUUAUGGAUUCCUUUAAUCAUAGGUAAUGUGUUUAUGAACUAAAAUUAUGAUUUAAUCCUUUCAUUUCGAAAAUCCAUUUUGGUAGGUCAUUUUGACCCCGAUUUGAAAAUAGGCAAUAUGGGUAUCGUUGUCUUCCAUUUGAUGUGAAAAUUCUAUAUUUGUAUGUUUUAGUUGAUCCUGAGGUCGUUCGCUCCAUGUGAAGGGUUUUAGGUUUGGAUUUUAACAUCAUGAGGUAGGUUAUGGCUUAACUUUCUUCAAACUGGCCUGGGUAGUUAAUAUUUCUAUAAAAGCAUGUUAUGGGUAUGGGUAAUAAUCAUUGGAAUAAUGUUAUUAUUGUUAUGUGCCUGUGUGAGGGCUUAUGUUGUUAUUAUUGUAGGCCUUGUAUAUGCAUUAUAGUUGCUUUCUUCUUGAUAGAAAAUUCCUAAGUUAGGGUUAAUGUGCUAAUAAGAAUGUUUCACUUGCAUAUUUCACUCUAAUAAUACAUGACUUAUAUUAAAUCAUGGAUGACUGACAUUGUAACAACCCGAGACUACCCCUAGUCGUCACACGGUGCGUACAACCCCUAAGGACCAAAAGCUAACUCAUGAAUGAUAUCUACUAUGAGCACUGAAUAAUAAUACUGCAAUUAAUGUGAAAAAAUGAGUUGAAAUGCCAUAAGGUUCAAAACAUCUAAAAUACUGAUAAAUAACAACAUUUGAUAAAAACUGAACACUGUCUGAAAAUCCUCUGACUAAAUCUUUCUGAAAGUGGAGUUGAUGGGACAAUCCCCCAACUAAAUCCAUCUACUAAACUAAUACAUCUACUAAAAAUAUGAAAUAGUAUAAUAUCCUUGAAUGAUGAGGACUCAUUGCUAAAUCUACUGCUGUUGGCUAAACCUGAAUCUACUAUGCGUGAUUCGAAACCUGAGCUCCGAACCUAUGAUAUAAAACAUCAUAGCCCAGAAAAGUAUGCGUCAGUACGUGGGAAUAUACUAGUAUGCUAGAUGAGGUAAGGUUGAAUGCAAGAGUUCAUAUGCAUGAAUGAGAAUAACUAAACAUAAGAUUGCGUGAAAAAUCUAAGAAUACUGUAAAUACUGAGAAUGCAAUCUGUGCAUAUAUAUAUAUAUAUAUAAAUUAUAACUGGGCUUUUCUUAUGCUAAGUAUUGAAUUCUGAUAACAGAUUAACUGAUAUUGAUUGACUGUAUCUGACAGUCCUGAUUCUAUAAAACUGAGCUGAGUUCUGAACUAAGACUGAAACUGUGGGAGGUAAUCAUCUAACUGACAUACCCCAAAUCUAACUGAUAGGGGUCCAACCUGUAACCCCAGUUGGAAGGGUGCUAAUACCGUGCCACGGGUACUAACACUAGUAAACUAGGAUGCCAAGCCUAACUGACGGGUGAAACCUGGGCGGAGCCAAGCCUAAUUUUAUAGGUGACCCCUGUGAGGUAGUCAAGCCUAGUCUAACGGGUGACUCCUCAUCUUGCACUGGCUACGCAGUUCUGGACUAUAGGGAUUGCUACUAACAACUCUGCCUAUCUGACGGGGAAGCCAUCAUCCCUGCAUUCGUUCGGUGCUGAAUUCUACUCCCAAUUGAAAGACACUGAACUAAAUAUACUAGACUGAACUGGAAUGGGUUUACUAAGUUUUCCUAAGUUCUGUAAUUGACUGAGUUCUGUAAUGAGCUGAGAGUACUGAUCAUGACAUGACUAAUACUAUUCUGUAACAGACACUAGCUCUAGGUAAAUAGCUAAAUUGUCGGGUAUUAAAUACCCCCAGGACUCGAUAGCAUGAAAAGUAAAGCAAAGUAUAAUCUUGAAUAAUAUAACAAUGUUUACUUGGUCAUAAUUCAUUCAUAGAGACAUUUCAUCAAACACUUGUAAUGCAUAACUUGUACAUGAAUGGGUUCUCAUAAUAAUAUCUUGUGAUUUCUCGGUCUACUUCACAUAGGCAUUUUAGCAAAUACUCGGGGAGCCUGAGUAUUUCCCAUGAUAAUGGUCAUCACAUAAACAUCCUGAAUACAAUACUUAAUUGCAAAUUCAAGAGUUUAGCAUGUAAUUCAUAUAUUUCCCCCUAAACACUAUUCUAUUUUUCAUGAAUCUUAUCAUAAUCAUGGAUUGAAAACCAAAUCAACAUCAUAGAUGCAUUAAUCACUUUAUAAAUUUAAGGGUCUAUCAAGAUAAUCACAUAUUUGUUAUACAUGUUAUUUAAUUUCAUGAAACUUUCAUUUAAAUCAUGGAUUGGAACCCAACUAAUGUUAUAAAUAUGAAGUCAAUCUAAUUCAAGCAUGGAAAUCAUAAAUAAAUCAUCUUUGUAAUUUGAAAAAAGAUUCUUGGACUUCAUGGGUGAAAAAGAUCUAUGAAUCAACAUCUAAAAAAUCUUAAUUUAUGAUAUUCUUGAAGUUCUUGAAGGAUUUCUUGAGCUUGACCUUGAUUUCUUGAACUAGAGCUUUGCCUUUUGAGAUAGAAUGGUUUGCUUCUUGAGAAAAUAGUGAAUUAAUGAGCAAUUUAUGCUCUUUUAGGGUUUGAUUGCGUGUUUAGGCUGACUGGGGGUGAGGGGAAAAGACCUUAGUGCCCUCAAAAUUAAAACUCAGUAUUGAUUGAAAAUUUUAAUUUUGUAUGCUGGAAACAGAUGAUUGGAAACUGAGCUGAUGGCGCGAUGCGGUGCCAUCGCGGUGCCUCACUGGUUGCGAAUUUUCCCUUUGGCACGAUGCACCAUGAUCGCGGAGUCACACUGGAAAGUGAUAAUUAGGAAAAAGGCUAAUGGUGCGACAUGGUGGUAUCGCAUUGUCUUACUGGAAAAUAACAAAUGCCAUUUGGACUGCCUCCAUGACGCACUGGAGUAUAAGGUGGUACACUGUCUUACUAAAAUAGCUCUUACUCUUCGCCCGGGUGUUGGAUUUGGGCAAAUUUGGUAUCGAGUCUUUAACAUUCUAGGGACGAAUUUUAAGCUAAGAAAAAGCACGGGUUGUUACAGACAUAUUGAGUGGAAUUGAGCUAACAUGUCUGUAUAUUGACUAGAUUUGAUAUC